rnacentral:rRNA from 1 species
UGCUGCAGCCACCGAGCAGCGGUCACUAGCUCCUUGGAGCUGAGCAGGGUUGGGCCGCCUAGCACUCAGAAGGGAGACCAUCUGGGAAGCCUGGGUGCUGGAGGAG